rnacentral:tRNA from 1 species
AAGAGUAUAGUUUCAAUCGGUCAAAACUCUUGAUUCCAAAUUAGGUAUUGUCCGUUCGAGUCGGACUGCUCUUG